rnacentral:rRNA from 1 species
CCCUUAGAUGUUCUGGGCCGCACACGCGCUACACUGAAUAGAUCAACGUGUUCCCCCUUUCCGAGAGGAACGGGUAAACCGCUGAACCCUAUUCGUGGUAGGGAUCGGGGCUUGCAAUUGUUCCCCGUAAACCAGGAAUUCCCAGUAGGCGCAAGUCAUAAGCUUGUGUCGAUUACGUCCCUGCCCUUUGUACACACCGCCCGUCGCUACUACCGAUUGAACGUUUUAGUGAGGUCCUCGGACUGUUUGGUAGGCGGAUUACUCUGCCUGCCUGGUGGGAAGACGACCAAACUGUAGCGUUUAGAGGAAGUAAAAGUCGUANCA